GCCAGCGGCGAUAGCACGUUGAAUGCACCAGUUACCUAUGUUCACUGAAGUUAAGCAACGUUGCGCGUGGUUAGUAGAUGGGUGACCAUUUGGGUAAUCACGUGCUGGCU
rnacentral:rRNA from 1 species